AGCGCAACCCUUGUCCUUAGUUACCAGCACGUUAUGGUGGGCACUCUAAGGAGACUGCCGGUGACAAACCGGAGGAAGUGGGGAUGACGUCAAGCCAUCAUGGCCCUUACGGCCUGGGCUACACACGUGCUACAAUGGUCGGUACAAAGGGUUGCCAAGCCGCGAGGUGGAGCUAAUCCCAUAAAACCGAUCGUAGUCCGGAUCGCAGUCUGCAACUCGACUGCGUGAAGUCGGAAUCGCUAGUAAUCGUGAAUCAGAAUGUCACGGUGAAUACGUUCCCGGGCCUU
rnacentral:rRNA from 1 species